rnacentral:rRNA from 1 species
GAGUUUGGAUCCUGGCUCAGAACGAACGCCAGCGGCGUGAUUAGGCAUGCAAGACGAACGGACACCGUAGCAAUACGGGUGUUAGUGCGAAGGGUAGUAAUGCAUAGAUAACCUGCCCCCGAGACCGGGAUAACUCCGGGAAACCGGAGCUAAGACCGGAUGGGGUCACUGGAUCGCCUGGUUCGGUGACUAAAGGAGGCCUCUGAAGAUGCUCCCGCUCGGGGAGGGAUCUAUGUCCUAUCAGCUAGUUGGUGAGGGUAAUGGCCCACCAAGGCAUUGACGGGUAGCCGGCCUUAGCGGGUGUCCGGCCACAUUGGGACUGAGACACUGCCCAAACUCCUACGGGAGGCUGCAGUCGAGGAUCUUCCGCAAUGAGCGCAAGCUUGACGGAGCGACGCCGCGUGUGGGAUGAAGGCCUUCGGGUUGUAAACCACUGUCACUCGUUAAGAAAGGGUUGGGGGUCAACAGCCUCCAGCACUGACGAAUGCGAGAGAGAG